UGGUCACAGCUUCGUGACCCUCCACCUCCUUGUUGCAACCCUAAUCCAUCAUCUGCUGCCAUACGUUCAACUUUCAGCGCUUAUCCAACUGUGAGAAAAUUUUGAUAAUAUCAAAUUUCCACAGUUCAUCAACCUCGAUUGAAGCUCGUCUUGGUUUGCCGUUUAUGCCAUCAUUCUCCAUUGAGGCACUCAAGCAGCUUUCUUUGCCCCUUCAAAUGUACUUUCUCUCUCCGAUGAGAAAGAAGAUAUAAAGAAGGCUAUAAGACCGUGGGAGAUGAAAGAUGAAGAGGUGGAAUUCUUUAGGGAAAAUUUGCUGGCACUCAAGCAGUACGAGCUGUCAAGGCAGAAACAAUUGAAGAACUCGAAAGUUGCAGCUUCAGGUUCUUGUUAGACACUUAGACAUCUAUGUUGUUGGAGGGAUUUGAUGGUUAGAUGUGCUAAUAGGUUGCUGAUUGGGGCUGCUAUGGGGAGAAUAGAGGCCAAGACGACUAGGAAGCUGAAGAGAAGAUUAAUGUCUUGUUUUUAUGAGUUUGGUUUAUUUUUUUAUUAUUGUUUCUUUGUUUGGUUUCUUUUAAGAGGUUAAUGGUUCUGGUUCUACCCCUCUUGUAAGGUAAAAGGAAUGUACCAUAUGGACCAAUGUUUUAUGAAUGGGUCGAUUUGGGUUAUUUU
rnacentral:lncRNA from 1 species